CAGUAGCCGCGGUAACACGUAGGAGGCAAGCGUUGUCCGGAAUUAUUGGGCGUAAAGGGCUCGCAGGCGGUUUCUUAAGUCUGAUGUGAAAGCCCCCGGCUCAACCGGGGAGGGUCAUUGGAAUCUGGGAAACUUGAGUGCGGAAGAGGAGAGUGGAAUUCCACGUGUAGCGGUGAAAUGCGUAGAGAUGUGGAGGAACACCAGUGGCGAAGGCGACUCUCUGGUCUGCAACUGACGCUGAGGAGCGAAAGCGUGGGGAGCGAACAGGAUUAGAUACCUCCGUAGUCCCUGUCUCUUAUAC
rnacentral:rRNA from 1 species